UAGGGGAAAGGAAAAACAGAAAGAAAAAAGGAAAAAAUAAAAAACGGAUCUCUUAUGAGUUGAGCCAAAUUUUGCAAAUCUGAUGCGGGGGUUUUGUUAGAGCUGGCAACAACAAAAACAGAGUCGGAAGUAAUCACUGAAAGCUUUUCCGAUACGGUAAACUCCGGCGACUACCGACUCCGUUCAUGCAAUGGUGGUCUGCAAAUGCAAGAAGGCUACCAAGCUGUAUUGUUUCGUGCACAAGGUUCCGGUUUGUGGAGAAUGCAUUUGUGCUCCAGAGCAUCAAAUAUGUGUGAUUCGUACAUACUCAGAAUGGGUGAUAGACGGAGAGUACGAUUGGCCUCCUAAAUGCUGUCAAUGUCAGGUUGUGCUCGAUGAGGGGACUGGCUCUCAAACGACACGGCUUGGUUGCUUACAUGUUAUACAUACAAGUUGCCUGGUGUCACAUAUCAAGAGUUUCCCUUCGCAUACUGCCCCAGCUGGAUAUGUUUGUCCUGGAUGUUCGACAUCGAUAUGGCCUCCCAAGAAUGUGAAAGAUUCAGCAUCCCGCUUUCAUUCAAAGUUGAAGGAAGCUAUCAUGCAGACUGGCUGGGAAAAGAACUUGUUUGGAAAUCAUCCAGUUUCAUUGUCAUCGACAGAGUCCCGUAGUCCGCCACCUGCAUUUUCCUCAGAUGCAGGGCAGGGGAAUAUUGCAACCUCAUCUUCAUUAGCAAAAGAUGAAACUGGAGCAGGGUCUGCUAUACUUCAAGUGACAGACAUAGUGGAGAUAGAAGGUCCUAGUUCAGCAGGGAGUUUUAUAAAAAGCACAAGUCCAGUUGGUCCUGGUGCUACAACACGAAAGGGUGCAUUCCAGGUUGAGCGGCAAAAUUCUGAAAUCUCAUAUUAUGCAGAUGAUGAAGAUGGGAAUCUUAAAAAGUAUUCACGGAGGGGCCCAUUCCGACACAAGUUUCUUAGAGCAUUGCUUCCAUUCUGGGGAAGUUCAUUGCCAAUUCUACCAGUGACCGCACCCCAGCGGAAAGAUGGAUCAAUUGCAACAGAUGCACCGGAAGGUCGUACCAGACAUCAAAAAUCAUCGAGAAUGGAUCCAAGAAAAAUACUUCUUGUUAUAGCAAUCAUGGCAUGCAUGGCAACUAUGGGUAUUUUGUAUUAUAGAUUAGUGCAACGGGGUCUUGGCGAGGAGACUCCUGAUGGCGAGCAGCAGUAAUCAUCGUAUAUGAUGUAUGGUGGAAUUCAGGCGAUGGUGUAUCACCCUCUUAAUUUAGACCUUCUUGCCCUUGUUCUUGUGCUUCUGCUGAUGUAACAUGCGUUGGGAAAGAUCAUUCAUUUGGAAUUCCGGCCUACAUUUUUGAAUAUACAGAACAGACGGUGAAGCACAAGUGAAAAACAUUGAACUUAAGCGAGAUUAGGGAAUCUUUACUGGUAAGAUUGAGCUUUUUUUUCAAAGAAAUAUUGAAGGAAACUUCUGAACUAACACCUCUGAUAAAAAAGAAAAAGGAAAAUUAGAAAACUUCCUAACAUAUCCAAAAGACGUCUUUCCGAAUUAAAUUAAGUUAAUCCUAGUAUUGUAGUACGCUGACCUUGCGAGACAUCUUGCAUAUACAAUAUUGGAGAGGAAUAUAAACAGCGCAUGUACAAACCGUAAAAAUAUGAUGGGAAAAGAAUUGAAUAUCAGAUUUGUUCU